ensembl:lncRNA
UGCAAGCUAAUUUUGCUUUUUUUUCCCCAGGAUCUGAAGGAAGCAGUCGUUAUGUCUGAAUCUGUGAAGAUCAGUGCAGUUAUCAAGGGGUGAAAACCAACACACAAAUAUUUGUUAUUGAUAAGAUACUUAGUAAUCAGAGUGGCUUCUUACACCCAGGUGAACCCCGGCACUGUGCCUGUCUCGGAGUGGGAGUUCAGAACUAGGAAUGAAUGAGCAAAGUACCUGGGUUCAGAUCCUAGCAUGGCCCGAGGCAAGUUCUGGAACCUCUCUGUGACUUCAUCUCCUGGACUGUAAAAAGGAGAGCAUGACACUUGCUGUCUCAGGAUGGUUGUGGAGAUGAAACGAGAAAAUACAGCUAGUCAAGUACAGCACAGAGCAUAUAGCAAGAGCUCAGUAACGGUCACUGAUUACAACGCAGGCUUUCAAAGAAAGAUGAGUCUGAAGACAGAGAGAAUCUACUCAUCAGCUAAUUAACUCCCAAAUCCUCAAGUGUUGACAGCUCUCUUCAAAGUCCUGGCUUUUCUAAAACAGGAAUAGCCCAGGGCCACCCCAGAUUCACUCGGCACGGCCCGCCCCCAGCAAAAGCAACCUGGGCCCUGGGGACGGAUGAGGAUGGACCCAUCGAGAGAGGCUUGCUGGACAUUUGGCCUAGAGGUUGAUAAGCAGUCAAGCUUCUGCAAGGAACUGAUGGUGUCCUCAACAGUGGUUGAAUCCUUUCUGACUAAACCCAGGAUGUCCAAUGAGUCACCAAAUCCUGUCAACUCUACCUCCUAAAUCUCGCUUAAAUCCAUUGACUCCUUCACAUCCUCAUUGCUUUGUCUCCGCUUUAGAGCACUCGGGCUUUGCAUUUGAAUUAAUGAAGCAGCCUCCUAACUGGUCUGCCAAGAAUGGUUCACGGAGGCCUUUGAUUCUCUCCAGCCCCACUCCUGGCCUCGCCCCCUCGGUGCUCCAGGGCACACUGCACACCUGCUGUUCCCUCUGCCUGGAACACGCUCCCUGCCCAGCCCUCCUCAGCCUUCAGGGACCUGCUUAAACAGCCAUUUCUACAGUGAUGACUACACUACCACAGCCUGUCUGUAGCCCCCUCCCAGGCCCUAAGCAUCGCGAUGACAGGCACGCCUUCCUUACUGGUCCCCACGGCAGCCUGUUCAACACGCUGUUCAGUGUG